rnacentral:rRNA from 1 species
GGAGUUAGCCGGUGCUUCUUCUGUGAGUGAUGUCCUUCCUGCCGGCUAUUAACCCGCAGGCCUUCUUCCUCACUGAAAGUGCUUUACAACCCGAAGGUCUUCUUCACACACGCGGCAUGGCUGGAUCAGGGUUGCCCCCAUUGUCCAAUAUUCCCCACUGCUGCCUCCCGUAGGAGUCUGGGCCGUGUCUCAGUCCCAGUGUGGCUGAUCAUCCUCUCAGACCAGCUACGGAUCGUCGCCUUGGUGAGCCGUUACCUCACCAACCAGCUAAUCCGACAUAGGCUCAUCCGAUAGCGCGAGGCCCGAAGGUCCCCCGCUUUCCCCCGUAGGGCGUAUGCGGUAUUAGCCUGGGUUUCCCCAGGUUAUCCCCCACUACCCGGGCAGAUUCCUAUGCAUUACUCACCCGUCCGCCGCUCGCCACCAGGGAGCAAGCUCCCCGUGCUGCCGCUCGACUUGCAUGUGUAGCCUCGCCGCCNCGCGUCAUCUGAGCCAUAAUACAACUACUGA